rnacentral:rRNA from 1 species
AGAACGAACGCUGGCGGCAGGCUUAACACAUGCAAGUCGAGCGGGUAGCAAUACCAGCGGCAGACGGGUGAGUAACACGUGGGAACCUUCCUAGAGGUACGGAACAACGCAGGGAAACUUGCGCUAAUACCGUAUGUGCUCUUGCGAGGAAAGAUUUAUCGCCUUUAGACGGGCCCGCGUCGGAUUAGCUAGUUGGUGGGGUAAUGGCCUACCAAGGCAACGAUCCGUAGCUGAUCUGAGAGGAUGAUCAGCCACACUGGAACUGAGACACGGUCCAGACUCCUACGGGAGGCAGCAGUGGGGAAUCUUGGACAAUGGGGGAAACCCUGAUCCAGCCAUGCCGCGUGCGGGAAGAAGGCCUUCGGGUUGUAAACCGCUUUUGGUCGGAAAGAAAAGGCGCCACCUAAUACGGGGCGUUCUUGACGGUACCGGCAGAAUAAGCACCGGCUAACUACGUGCCAGCAGCCGC